AAAGGAGGGGCAAUACCGAAUAUUGUCCGGGACCGUGAAGGGUUUCGGGGAAAGGGAGGCCUCUGACACAAGCUUUCGCCUUAAGAUGAGCCCAUGGCCCAUCAGCUAGUUGGUAGGGUAAAGGCCUACCAAGGCUACGACGGGUCGCUGGUCUGAGAGGACGACCAGCCACACUGGCACUGAGAUACGGGCCAGACUCCUACGGGAGGCAGCAGUGAGGAAUAUUGCGCAAUGGGGGAAACCCUGACGCAGCAACGCCGCGUGUGGGAAGAAGGCCUUCGGGUCGUAAACCACUUUUACUCGGGACGAAAAAGGGAUAUCAAAUAAAUAUCCCCGAUGACGGUACCGUGAGAAUAAGCCACGGCUAACUCUGUGCCAGCAGCCGCGGUAAGACAGAGGUGGCAAGCGUUGUUCGGAAUUACUGGGCGUAAAGAGUCUGUAGGUGGUUUGUCAAGUCUUUGGUGAAAGGCCGUAGCUUAACUAUGGGAAUGCCAAAGAGACUGGCAGGCUGGAGGCUGGGAGAGGGAAGCGGAAUUUCUGGUGUAGCGGUGAAAUGCGUAGAUAUCAGAAGGAAGGCCGGUGGCGAAGGCGGCUUCCUGGAACAGUCCUGACACUGAGAGACGAAAGCGUGGGGAGCAAACAGGAUUAGAUACCCUGGUAGUCCACGCCCUAAACGAUGGGUACUAAGUGUGGAGGGGUUAAACCCUCCGUGCCGCAGCAACGCAGUAAGUACCCCGCCUGGGGAGUACGGCCGCAAGGUUGAACUCAAAGGAAUUGACGG
rnacentral:rRNA from 1 species